rnacentral:rRNA from 1 species
AUUGAACGCUGGCGGCAUGCUUUACACAUGCAAGUCGAACGGCAGCGCGGGCUUCGGCCUGGCGGCGAGUGGCGAACGGGUGAGUAAUGCAUCGGAACGUGCCCAGUAGUGGGGGAUAGCGCGGCGAAAGCGGGAUUAAUACCGCAUACGACCUGAGGGUGAAAGCGGGGGACCGAAAGGCCUCGCGCUAUUGGAGCGGCCGAUGUCGGAUUAGCUAGUUGGUGGGGUAAAGGCUUACCAAGGCGACGAUCCGUAGCUGGUCUGAGAGGAUGACCAGGCACACUGGGACUGAGACACGGCCCAGACUCCUACGGGAGGCAGCAGUGGGGAAUUUUGGACAAUGGGGGCAACCCUGAUCCAGCCAUGCCGCGUGCGUGAAGAAGGCCUUCGGGUUGUAAAGCGCUUUUGUUCGGGAAGAAAGCCUCUGAGCUAAUACCCCGGGGGGAUGACGGUACCGGAAGAAUAAGCACCGGCUAACUACGUG